UCUGACCUGAUUAGAUUGGGUUCAACCAAAUUGCUUUGUUUUAAUUUGGGUUUGACCAAAUUUGAUUAGGUGCAACCCAAGGGGAUUAGGCUCAGAUGAUGUGGCAAUUAUUGGUGACAUGGAAUUGGAUUUCAUGAAUUUUAAAUAAACCAAAAUUAUUGCAUGGCACAUGGACCCAUUGCUUGACACAUGGCGACAUUGUUUGUUAUUUGAAUUUAAAUUCAAACAUUAAGCAAUGUGUUAAAUGAUUUUAAUCACUCAAACCAUCAGCCAAGGUGGCGUAUGAGUUUUUGAACGGAUUAAAUUCGAAAUUUCAAGAGGUGAUUUCGAAAUUAUGAAGUGUUUUACCUUGCCGCAUGGAUUUCAAAUUCCUUCCCUCUUGCACAUGUGUUUAAAAUUUGAAUUUAAAUCAGAUUUGGUUGAGAUCUG
rnacentral:lncRNA from 1 species